rnacentral:rRNA from 1 species
UGGGGAAUUUUGGACAAUGGGCGCAAGCCUGAUCCAGCCAUGCCGCGUGCGGGAAGAAGGCCUUCGGGUUGUAAACCGCUUUUGUCAGGGAAGAAAUCUUCUGAGUUAAUACCUCGGGAGGAUGACGGUACCUGAAGAAUAAGCACCGGCUAACUACGUGCCAGCAGCCGCGGUAAUACGUAGGGUGCAAGCGUUAAUCGGAAUUACUGGGCGUAAAGCGUGCGCAGGCGGUUUUGUAAGACAGAGGUGAAAUCCCCGGGCUCAACCUGGGGACUGCCUUUGUGACUGCAAGGCUUGAGUGCGGCAGAGGGGGGAUGGAAUUCCGCGUGUAGCAGUGAAAUGCGUAGAUAUGCGGAGGAACACCGAUGGCGAAGGCAAUCCCCUGGGCCUGCACUGACGCUCAUGCACGAAAGCGUGGGGAGCAAACAGGAUUAGAUACCCUGGUAGUCCACGCCCUAAACGAUGUCAACUGGUUGUUGGGAAGGUUCCUUCUCAGUAACGUAGCUAACGCGUGAAGUUGACCGCCUGGGGAGUACGGCCGCAAGGUUGAAAC